GACGAACGCUGGCGGCGUGCUUAACACAUGCAAGUCGAACGGUGAACGAGGGAGCUUGCUCCCUCCGGAUCAGUGGCGAACGGGUGAGUAACACGUGAGCCAUCUGCCCCGAACUCUGGGAUAAGCGUUGGACACGACGACUAAUACCGGAUACGCCGCGGGAGGGCAUCCUCUCCGCGUGGAAAGAACUUCGGUUCGGGAUGGGCGCGCGGCCUAUCAGCUAGUUGGUGAGGUAACGGCGCACCAAGGCGACGACGGGUAGCCGGCCUGAGAGGGUGAGCGGCCACACUGGGACUGAGACACGGCCCAGACUCCUACGGGAGGCAGCAGUGGGGAAUAUUGCACAAUGGGCGCAAGCCUGAUGCAGCAACGCCGCGUGAGGGACGACGGCCUUCGGGUUGUAAACCUCUUUUAGCAGGGAAGAAGCGAAAGUGACGGUACCUGCAGAAAAAGCACCGGCUAACUACGUG
rnacentral:rRNA from 1 species